rnacentral:rRNA from 1 species
GACGAACGCUGGCGGCGUGGAUUAGGCAUGCAAGUCGAACGGUAUCAUCCUUUCGGGGGUGAGAGAGUGGCGAACUGGUGAGUAACACGUAGGUUAUCUACCCUCAAGACGGGGACAACCCAGGGAAACUUGGGCUAAUACCGGAUGUGAGCAACUUUUAGUUGUUUGAAAGGUGGCGUAAGCUGUCGCUUGGGGAUGAGCCUGCGUCCUAUUAGUUAGUUGGUGAGGUAACGGCUCACCUAGGCAAUGAUAGGUAGGCGGCCUUAACGGGUGGUCGCCCACACUGGGAUUGAGAUACGGCCCAGACUCCUACGGGAGGCAGCAGUCGAGAAUAGUCUACAAUGGCCGAAAGGCUGAUAGUGCGACGCCGCGUGAACGAAGAAGCCCCUUGGGUGUAAAGUUCUUUUAUAUGUGAGCAGUGCUUUUCAUGUGAACAGCAUGGGGAGAGAGAUAUUAGCAUAUGAAUAAGCAAACGGCUAAACUCCGUGACCAGCAGCCGCGGU